GCAUAUCAAUAAGCGGAGGAAAAGAAAACAACAGGGAUUGCCCUAGUAACGGCGAGUGAAGCGGCAACAGCUCAAAUUUGAAAUCUGGCGCAAGCCCGAGUUGUAAUUUGUAGAGGAUGCUUCUGGGCAGCGGCCGGUCUAAGUUCCUUGGAACAGGACGUCAUAGAGGGUGAGAAUCCCGUAUGCGACCGGUUGGCACCCGUCACGUAGCUCCUUCGACGAGUCGAGUUGUUUGGGAAUGCAGCUCUAAAUGGGAGGUAAAUGCCUUGUAAAGCUAAAUACCGGCUGGAGACCGAUAGCGCACAAGUAGAGUGAUCGAAAGAUGAAAAGCACUUUGGAAAGAGAGUUAAAAAGCACGUGAAAUUGUUGAAAGGGAAGCGCAUGCAACCAGACUUGUCGGCGGUGUUCCGCCGGUCUUCUGACCGGUCUACUCGCCGUCGGCAGGCCAGCAUCAUCUGGGCGCGCCGGACAAAGGCGUCGGGAAUGUGGCUCCCUCGGGAGUGUUAUAGCCCGGCGUGCAAUACGGCGCCGCCCGGGUGAGGUCCGCGCUUCGGCUAGGAUGCUGGCGUAAUGG
rnacentral:rRNA from 1 species